rnacentral:rRNA from 1 species
AUUGAACGCUGGCGGCAGGCUUAACACAUGCAAGUCGAACGAGUGGCGGACGGGUGAGUAAUGCUUGGGAAUCUAGCUUAUGGAGGGGGAUACCUACGGGAAACUGUAGCUAAUACAGCGUACCAUAGGAUGAGCCCACGGGGGAUUAGGUAGUUGGUGAGGUAAAGGAGCACCAAGCCGACGAUCUCUAGCUGGUCUGAGAGGAGGACCAGCCACACUGGGACUGAGACACUGCCCAGACUCCUACGGGAGGCAGCAGUGGGGAAUAUUGAACAAUGGGCGCAAGCCUGAUGCAGCCAUGCCGCGGGUAUGAAGAAGGCCUUCGGGUUGUAAAGUACUUUCAGCGGGGAGGCGUUACCCGCAGAAGAAGCACCGGCUAACUCCGUGCCAGCAGCCGCGGUAAUUC